GGAGGGCAUCGCUGUCGUCGUCGGUCGUCACCCGCGACCCACCAACGGGAGAGGAGGAGGGGGAGGUGGUGGGGUAGAAGCUGCCGUUUGGUCGCCCUGACGAUCACAACCCGCCUAGGACCCCGGCACUAUGCCCCUCCAGGACCGGCCUAGAGCCACCACAGGGCCGAGCCUAGACUAUGCGCCCCUACCUCCCACUCACGCUCCUUCCACGCCGUCGCUUACCUGAACCUCCCCUCCUUUUGUAGCAGCAGUUCCGGGCGUUCCUCCUGCAGCGGCACCGGCGCGGCCACCUACACCUACCACCACUAGUGCACCUAGAGCGACUGCCCCUCCGCGACCAGCCUAGACGUUGGCGCCACCGUAGAGGGCUCCUCGGCCGGUCCCGCGGAUGGUUCUUCCAACCUAGACGCCUGCGCUCGCCCUCCUUCUUCCCCUUACACGACUUGCCGUUCCACCACAGACGGAGCCGCCGUGGCGCCCCCUUCUUCGGGCCAGACAGCGUUUCGCGGAGUAAGGGCCGCUCUCCCUGGUGGCCGCAGUCCUUCCCACCGCGAUACUGGAGGGACCGUUUCGUUCGGUUCGGUCUCCCCUUCCCACGGCACGGUUUACCUUGACGUCGCAGGAGCCCUGCCCCGUGCCUCUUCUUCCCCUUAAACCGAGUCUACGGACGGUGAGUAGUUAGGUACGGACACUUCGGACUUAGCCACCUGAGUUGAGGUUUGCUGUGAAGAAGACUUCAGGUUCUCAGUUUACUCUUGUGACGGUUUGGAAUGUCCGUCAGUAAAGGUUGCUUUUACCUCCUGCUACACGUGAGGUGAUGUAGCUCGUGCUUAUGAGUUGCGUCCUUACGACGACGGAGACCAAAAUCAAAGGCUAACCUCCUCGCACGACUCUUCGCGUUUCUCAAGAAUUUUUUUGAACUCCUCUUUUAAGUACGGUUCCUCUAACUUGUUUGCUUAAACGUCCUUUUUAGAUUCCUCUCGGUUCUCCGGCUCUAAUUUUCCGAAUCCUUCUCGGACUGUAAAUUUCGUCGUGGGUACGGUUCGAAGAUAUUCCUCGUCGGAGGAUUUCAACUCAACUUUUUCUAACGUGGUUGUGCACGAUCCAGUGGCUUCGAACCGGCUGUGUUCGGUUGGUCAAGACAGUGACGACGAAGACGUCUACCGAGACAGAGUACACUCUCGGGUGCCGCGUGUUGAUUAGGUCGGUUCCAUUUGUCUCCACACCUUUUAUUAUUUGGAGCCCAAUGACGAUCGUUUGGACCGGUCUCUAACCAGUGUUUUCGAGGGAGGGAUCGUAGAUAGUGACGUUUCCGACUUUGCUCUGGACAGCGAUGUUUCGUCUUUUGGAGGUUCUGUUUUGGUUUUCAAAGUUCUCUUUUCCAUGUCGUCGACGUUCUCUUGGGUCAUCUUUAGGGGGGACGUCUUGGAAGACGGAACCUUCCCGAACGACGACUUGGUUCACAACUUCUACUCUGUCCUGAACCGAGCUGACGGGGAGGCCAGUGAAGUUUACUCCAUGACCAGGUACCGACUAGACAGCGCGUAAAAAAAAUAAAAGCAGGAACGUCAGGACACUUAUCACUCCACACACGAAGAACCUUUCAACUUAGCGAGUUUCAUAGCACCUUAAUAAUAAAGACAUCAUCGAUAGAAAAAAGAAGUCGAAGAGUAACUCGUACGCCACAUAUAACGAACUUUUAAAGUACAAGUUUGAAAAACUCAAGAACACAUAUAACUUAAACAUGCACCCCUUGUACUUACGUUGAACACCUUAAGUAAACACAAGUCUUUAAGCAUAGUCAAUUGAAAAAAUGGUAGA
rnacentral:rRNA from 1 species